CCAUAGAUCAUACAUAGCUGGUAGGUAGCAUUAGUUCCUAGCCUUAGUUUUCAAAGCUCAAACAACUUCAGUUAUACUUAUUUAUUAUUAAAAGAAAAAAAUAAUAUAAAGAGUCAUAUUAGUGACAUUAUUAAUACAAGCAUCCAUAUGGAUAGUUAAUAAAUUCAAAUAAUAUUUUUAGGUGACUAAAAAUUGUUAAUCUUCAUAUGGAUAUAAAUUGUUUCGACAUAAGUGCUCUUUUCCAAGCAAAGUACAU
rnacentral:lncRNA from 1 species